UCUGACUUAACAUAUAAUUAAUGUGAGAGAUUGUAAAUCUUUUUAAAGUUUAUCAGCUAGUCAGGA
rnacentral:tRNA from 1 species